rnacentral:lncRNA from 1 species
CACUGAGACCAAGGGCAAGGGGAGGAAAGGCCCGGGGUAGGGCUGAAGACACAGGUUCCAGGCCCAGCUCUGCUGCUCACCGAUGAGGCUUCUCCUCUGUUGAGCAGACCUCACUGAAGAUCCCCCUACCCCAGGCUCAAGUCAGAGAGAGAGGAGGUGGCAGUGCCGGAAUUUCAGCUGCGCAUCCGUCCCAGCUCUGCACUGCGGGCGUCCGUCCCAGCUCUGCACUGCGUGCGUCCCGCCCUGGCUGGAGCUUGCAGACGGCAGCCCUGCAGGAACCCACCGGGGCUGACUCCUUCCUCCCCAGAUCCCACAAAACAGCAGUGGAUCUCCACUCGGCACGCAUUCCCCUCUACAUUCACACGAAGUGUCUUUUAAUGGAAAGUGUAUAAACUCGUUAAUUUUGGUUACUGCACUGAAGUUAGGCAAGCUUCUGCAGCUUUAUUAAAUGA